rnacentral:rRNA from 1 species
CCUACGGGUGGCAGCAGUGGGGAAUAUUGGACAAUGGGGGGAACCCUGUUCAAGCCAUGCCGCGUGGUUGAAGAAGGCCCCCGGGUUGUAAAGCACUUUAAGUGAGGAAGAACGCCUGGUGGUUAAUACCCACAAGGAAAGACAUCACUCACAGAAGAAGCACCGGCUAACUCCGUGCCAGCAGCCGCGGUAAUACGGAGGGUGCGAGCGUUAAUCGGAAUUACUGGGCGUAAAGCGCGCGUAGGUGGCUUGAUAAGCCGGUUGUGAAAGCCCCGGGCUCAACCUGGGAACGGCAUCCGGAACUGUCAAGCUAGAGUGCAGGAGAGGAAGGUAGAAUUCCCGGUGUAGCGGUGAAAUGCGUAGAGAUCGGGAGGAAUACCAGUGGCGAAGGCGGCCUUCUGGACUGACACUGACACUGAGGUGCGAAAGCGUGGGUAGCAAACAGGAUUAGAUACCCCAGUAGUC